rnacentral:sRNA from 1 species
GCUGCGAGCGGCAAGGUCGCGCAAGAUCGCCUGGAUCUCGCCGAAGUCCGGCCGCUCGCUCACCCGUGGCAGCGCGCAACGUCGCUGCAACUCGACCAGCGCCGCACGUAGCGAGGCCUGCCCCGGCGGCGCCUCGCUGCGCUCGAGCAACUCUUCCAGCAGGCAGGCGAAGGCACGUACUUCCAGGCGCCGCAGGGCGCC